ACCUGGGUGGCUCAGUCGGUUGAGCAUCUGACUUCAGCUCAGGUCAUGUUCUUGUGGUCUCUGUAAGUUCAAGCCCUGCAUCGGGCU
rnacentral:tRNA from 1 species